rnacentral:tRNA from 6 species
GGAGGGUUGGCCGAGUGGUUAUGGCGGUGCAUUCAAGUUCGAAAGAGCAAGGGUUCGAAUCCCUUACCCUUCA